UACGUAGGUGGCAAGCGUUGUCCGGAUUUACUGGGCGUAAAGGGCGCGUAGGCGGCCGCCUAAGUCAGACGUGAAAUCCCUCGGCUCAACCGGGGAACUGCGUCUGAUACUGGGUGGCUUGAAUUCGGGAGAGGGAUGCGGAAUUCCAGGUGUAGCGGUGAAAUGCGUAGAUAUCUGGAGGAACACCGGUGGCGAAGGCGGCAUCCUGGACCGAGAUUGACGCUGAGGCGCGAAAGCUAGGGGAGCAAACGGG
rnacentral:rRNA from 1 species